rnacentral:rRNA from 1 species
GAUGAACGCUAGCGGCAGGCUUAACACAUGCAAGUCGAGGGGCAGCACGAUGUAGCAAUACAUCGGUGGCGACCGGCGCACGGGUGCGUAACACGUAUGGAAUCUGCCUUGUACUGGGAGAUAGCCCUCCGAAAGGAGGAUUAAUAUCCCAUAACAGCCGGGGUGGCAUCACCCUGGUUUGAAAGCUCCGGCGGUACAAGAUGACCAUGCGCACCAUUAGCUAGUUGGUGAGGUAACGGCUCACCAAGGCUACGAUCGUUAGGGGGCCUGAGAGGGUUAUACCCAACACUGGUAAGGAGACACGGACCAGACUCCUACGGGAGGCAGCAGUGAGGAAUAUUGCGCGAUGGAGGAACCUCUGACGCAGCCAUGCCGCGUGCAAGAAGAAGGCGCUACGCGUUGUAAACUGCUUUUAACCGGGAAGAAACCCCCCGACGUGUCGGGGGUUGACGGUACCGGAGGAAUAAGCACCGGCUAACUUCGUGCCAGCAGCCGCCGUAAAAC